rnacentral:tRNA from 1 species
GGGCCUGUAGAUUAGCGGAAGAUCGCUUGACUUGCAUUCAAGAGGCCACGGGUUCAAAUCCCGUCAGGUCCA